GAUCUUACUCCGGAAAAAUACUUAAUGAAAGAAAAAAAAUAUUUAAUUAUAGAUUAUCUAAAGCAAGGCGUACUAUAGAAAAUACUUUGAUAUUUUAUCUUCACGAUGGAGAAUUUAUCGAAAGCCCAUUAAUAUGCAUCCGAAAUAUAUAGACAUGAUUGUCAUGGCGACUGUAUGUCUACAUAAUUUCAUAAAAUGUGAGGAAGAUCUUGUGGAAGCGAAGAACAGAAUAUACUGUCCUCCACAUUUUAUAGAUUCAGAGGACUCUGAAGGUAACAUCAUCCCCGGGGAAUGGCGACAAUAUACUGAAAAUGUACUGAGAGAUAUAUCUCCCACUUCAAAGCAUCAGGCAACUACAAUUGCAUACAAACAACGAGACAAACUGGCUGAUUAUUUUCUAACACAACCCGGCGAAGUUCCGUGGCAGUAUGAUUAUGUAAGAAGAGGACAACAUCGUGAUGAUUCAUAAUAAAAUACUAUUGAAAAUUAAAUAUAUAUAUUUAUGUAAACAUAUGCUUAUGUUAUAAUAAAACGAUUUAUUACAUUGCAUAAAAAAAAUAAAUAUAACAUUUUGUGUCACUCGUUAAAUAUUGCAUAAAAAAAAUAAACAUAACAUGUACCACUAAUUAUCACAUGUGUUGCAUUAAAAAUUAAUUUAUCUUAUCAGUAAUAAUUGCAUGUUACAUAAAAAUAAAAAAACGUAUCAUUAUCACAUGUUACAUAAAAAAAUAACUUAACAUGUA